GAGUUUGAUCUUGGCUCAGAUUGAACGCUGGCGGCAUGCCUUACACAUGCAAGUCGAACGGCAGCACGGGAGCUUGCUCCUGGUGGCGAGUGGCGAACGGGUGAGUAAUGCAUCGGAACGUAUCCUGGAGUGGGGGAUAACGUAGCGAAAGUUACGCUAAUACCGCAUAUUCUGUGAGCAGGAAAGCGGGGGACCUUCGGGCCUCGCGCUCUUGGAGCGGCCGAUGUCGGAUUAGCUAGUUGGUGAGGUAAAGGCUCACCAAGGCGACGAUCCGUAGCAGGUCUGAGAGGAUGAUCUGCCACACUGGAACUGAGACACGGUCCAGACUCCGUACGGGAGGCAGCAGUGGGAAGUUUUGGACAAGUGGGGGCAACCCUGAUCCAGCCAUGCCGCGUGAGUGAAGAAGGCCUGGUU
rnacentral:rRNA from 1 species